AUGCCAGAGCGAGAUAGUAAGCCGUUCUCCAACCCUUUGGCCCCCGAUGGCCACGAUGUGGAUGAUCCUCACUCCUUCCACCAAUCAAAACUCACAAUAAAGACUUCAGGAAACUUCUCAUGACCCCCAGGGCUGCACCUACCUCUGCACCACCUUCUAAGUCACGUCACCAUGAGAUGCCAAGGGAGUACAAUGAGGAUGAAGACCCAAAUGCACGAAAGAGGAAAAAGAAAAGUUAUUAUGCCAAGCUACGCCAACAGGAAAUUGAGAGAGAGAGAGAGCUAGCAGAGAAGUACCAGGAUCGUGCCAAGGAACGGAGAGAUGGAGUGAACAAAGGUUAUGACGAAACCGAGCUUACAAGCACCACAGCUAACUACAGGGCUGGCCGCCCACUGCUAAGGCGGACAAAAUCAGCUGCAGACAAGAGAAGACAGUUGAUCCAGGAGUCCAAAUUCUUGGGUGGUGACAUGGAACACACCCAUUCGGUGAAAGGCUUGGAUUUUGCUCUGCUUCAAAAGGUACGAGCUGAGACUGCCAGCAAAGAGAAAGAGGAAGAGGAACUGAUGGAAAAGCCCCAGAAAGAAACCAAGAAAGAUGAGGAUCCUGAAAAUAAAAUUGAAUUUAAAACACGUCUGGGCCGCAAUGUUUACCGAGUGCUUUUUAAGAACAAGCAUAUGAGCGGAACGAGUUGUUCCUGCCAGGCCGCAUGGCCUAUGUGGUAGACCUGGAUGAUGAGUAAGCUGACACAGAUAUCCCCACCACUCUUAUCCGCAGCAGGGCUGAUUGCCCCACCAUGGAGGCCCAGACCACACUGACCACAAAUGAUAUUGUCAUUAGCAAGCUUACCCAGAUCCUUUCAUACCUGAGGCAGGGAACCCGUAACAAGAAGCUUAAGAAGGAUAAAGGGAAGCUGGAAGAGAAGAAACCUCCUGAGGCUGACAUGAAUAUUUUUGAAGACAUUGGGGAUUACAUACCCUCCACAACCAAGACACCUCGGGACAAGGAGCGGGAGAGAUAUCGGAAACGGGAGCGUGAUCGGCAGACAGAGACCGUGACCGAGAGCGAGAGCGAGAGCGAGAACGAGAUCGGGAACGAGAACGAGAUUGGGAACGAGAGUGAGAGCGGGACCGAGAGAGAGAAGAGAAAAAGAAGAGACACAGCUACUUUGAGAAGCCAAAAGUACAUGAUGAGCCCAUGGACGUUGACAAAGGACCUGGGUCUGCCAAGGAGUUGAUCAAGUCCAUCAUUGAAAAGUUUGCUGGGUCUGCUGGCUGGGAAGGCACAGAAUCGCUGAAAAUGGCAGAAGACAUAAAGCAGCUGGGAGAUUUCUUUGGCAUGUCCAACAGUUACGCAGAGUGCUAUCCAGCCACGAUGGAUGACAUGGCUGUGGAUAGGGAUGAGGAGGUGGAUUAUAGCAAAAUGGACCAGGGUAACAAGAAGGGGCCCUUAGGCAGUUGGGACUUAGAUACCCAGGAAGAAUACAGCGAGUAUAUGAACAACAAAGAGGCUUUGCCCAAGGCUGCAUUCCAGUAUGGUAUCAAAAUGUCUGAAGGGCGCAAAACCAGACGCUUCAAGGAAACCAAUGACAAAGCAGAGCUUGAUUGCCAGUGGAAGAUUAGUGCAAUCAUUGAGAAGAGGAAGAAGACGGAAGCUGAUGGGGUUGAAGUCAAAAGACCAAAAUACUAGUCACCAGUUACAACCAGAGACGCUCCACAAGGAUAUGCUCCCCACUGUUUUCUUUCUACAAUUUCCAAAGGUUGCAAGAUGUUUUUUUGUGGAUGAAUAUAAAAUUUUAUUGUGAAAAAAAAAAAGAAACACAGAUAGUAAAAAAAUGUUAUGUCUGGCAACACAGCUCAUUCAAAAAUAAAUGAUCAUUUACUGAUGAUGGGCUUUGUAGAUUCCCGUCAUCUACAGGUUAGAACAUAUGAGGACAAAUUCUGAAGAGCUAUACUCCCUUCCAUCUUUUC